UACGGAGGGAGCUAGCGUUGUUCGGAUAUACUGGGCGUAAAGCGCACGUAGGCGGCGCCGUAAGUCAGGGGUGAAAUCCCGGAGCUCAACUCCGGAACUGCCCUUGAAACUGCAGUGCUAGAAUCUUGGAGAGGCGAGUGGAAUUCCGAGUGUAGAGGUGAGAUUCGUAGAUAUUCGGAAGAACACCAGUGGCGAAGGCGACUCGCUGGACAAGUAUUGACGCUGAGGCGCGAAAGCUAGGGGAGCAAACAGG
rnacentral:rRNA from 1 species